UACGUAGGGUGCGAGCGUUGUCCGGAAUCAUUGGGCGUAAAGAGCGUGUAGGCGGUCCGGUAAGUCGGCUGUGAAAGUCCAGGGCUCAACCCUGGGAUGCCGGUCGAUACUGCCGGACUAGAGUUCGGAAGAGGCGAGUGGAAUUCCCGGUGUAGCGGUGAAAUGCGCAGAUAUCGGGAGGAACACCUAUGGCGAAGGCAGCUCGCUGGGACGUUACUGACGCUGAGACGCAAAAGCGUGGGGAGCAAACAGG
rnacentral:rRNA from 1 species